AGUAAUAAAGAUAUUCAGAAAUAAAGAAGAAGAAGAAGAGAGAGUAAAGAUAAAGACUAAAGUGCAGGUAGUGUGUGUGUGAGAGAGAGAGAGAGAGAGAGGUGGCUCCGGCAAACAGUCCCCCCUUGCAACUGUGUAGGUGUUGUGUAUGUGUAUGUGUAUGUGUAAAGAGAGUCGCGACAUUAUCGUGAAAACCAGCGAUCCCACAUAUGUAGCGGAGAAUAGGCCUUAGCCACGAAGGCAGUCAAACUCAUCUCAUCACUCUCUAAUCUCUAAUUAAUAAUCACAUCAGAGUAUCUGCGUAUUUCGUGGUGGGCGUGUCUUUUGGUUUUGGAUUUCCCCUCCAACCCACCUCUUAGCUACCAAAAACAACACAUAAUCCUUUCAUUUCUCAAUUCUUGGCAGCUUUUGGAGAUCGGUUUUGCACUUUUCCCCCUAUCCACUGAGGUACAUUUUAUCGGUAUUUCUUUUGGAUUGGUGGGGAAAGGAAACAGAAGGGACUGUGUUACAGGAGAUCGUAGCAGAAUCGGGUGGGUUUUUUUCCAAAAUCCAAAUGCACAAAAAGAGACACACGGAUUGUAUUUUGUAUUUGUAUUUGUUUGUGUAGUAGUGUUGUGCAUUACUAUUUAUCAAUAAUGCAAAGCAAAAUGUACACAACGAAACCAUUACCUCAACAGCAGCUUUCCGACUCCAAUAGACGUAUCAUCGAUCCCAAUGGACCCUCCCCUCUUGUUUAUCAAGUUUGGAAAGGAAACAAUAGAUUUUGCCUCGGAGGCAGGCUUGUAUUUGGUCCAGAUUUGAGGUCGAUUUUCCUUACAGUGUUUCUCAUCGUGAUGCCAGUAAUUCUGUUUUGUUCUUUUGUUUCUCCGAAGCUAGUUAAUGAAUUCCCUCACUCCGUAGCCAAUCUUAUUAUAGCUAUAUGUGUUCUCUUCACAGGAUAUGUUAUAAUUCUUCUCUUCCUUACGUCUGGAAGAGAUCCUGGUAUCAUUCCUCGUAACUCACAUCCUCCAGAACCUGAAGAUGAGGGUGAUGGCUCAAGUAUUUCUGCUGAUUGGCCUGGAAAUCAGAAUGGUGCUCCUAGUUUACCACCCAUAAAAGAAGUUGUGGUUAAUGGCAUAGUUGUUAAGGUCAAAUAUUGUCAAACUUGCAUGCUAUAUCGCCCACCACGAUGCUCUCAUUGUUCUAUUUGCAAUAACUGUGUUGAGCGUUUUGAUCACCAUUGCCCAUGGGUGGGACAGUGUAUUGGGAAGAGGAAUUACAGAUUCUUCUUCAUGUUUGUGUCCUCCACAACCAUGCUUUGCCUAUAUGUUUUUGCCUUCUGCUGGGUCAACAUUAGGAAAAUAAUGGAUGCUCAUGAUUGUAAUCUCUGGAGGGCUUUCCUGAAGUGCCCUGUUUCGGGAAUUCUGAUUUUAUACACAUUUGUAGCUGCUUGGUUUGUUGGAGGUCUUACAGCAUUUCAUCUCUAUUUAAUUUUCACCAAUCAGACAACAUAUGAGAAUUUCCGGUACCGGUAUGAUGGGAAGAUGAAUCCUUAUAACCGUGGGUGUGCUCUCAAUAUUGUGGACAUCUUCUUUUCUAAAAUUCCCAGUUCUAGGAACAACUUCAGGGCAAAGGUUAAAGGGGAUUCAUCUUCUGUGUUCACCACUUCAAUGCCAUUGGGCCAUGCCAUGAGCCCGGAAAUUCCCAAGAGAAGCUUUGACAUAGAGACUGGAAAAAGGCAAGCUGUUGCUGCUGAAGAUUUUGAAGAUAUACAGAGUCAGAUGGAAAGUGUUGGUGGAUUGGAGAGGUGUGGUGCCCAGCCAAGACGCACAAACUGGGAUCAUAAACUGAACUGGGAGAUGUCUCCUGAUAUACGAAUGUUGGCUGGUGAGUUUGAAAUGGAACGUGGUUUUACAGAAAGACAGAAAAUUAAUGGAGGCCUAUGAAGUUCUUUCUAUGGCCUAAACUAUUGUGGUAAGGGUAAAAUUCUGAUCUUAGAGCCAAGAUAAAAUUGCUAACCUGGCUGGUUGAAAUUGGUUACUGAAGUCGUGCUGAACUUGAAGAAAAGUCUGCCUUCGGAAGGAUGUUUCACCAAUCACCAUGCUAUUUUAUUCUUAUAGGAAGAAAUACACUAGUUCGGUUAAAAUAUGAAGAGGCACUUGUUGUACAUCAAACUGCUUUCAUGGAUACUUGGGGCGGCAGUGCAGGGCCUGGGCCUGUGGGGCUUUGUUUUUAGCUUUUUGUGUUUCCUCUUUUCUCCUUUCUGCUUUUGCUUUCUUCUCUUUCGAGGUCUGGGAGGCCUGAACCCAUGAUUAAAGACAUUUGGAUGUUAACUUUGGCAAUCGGUUGGUUGACCUGUAGAGAAAAUUGGACUGGUCAUGGUUGGUAGGACUGAUUUUAUGUUAACCUUACGUGAUUCUGAUUAUGUUAAAGUGACUGCACAUUCCUAGUUUAGGGGAGGUUGAAACCUUUGCUUGGAAUUGGAUAAAAAAAAUGUCCUCCCAAGUAGUUAGCGCUUAUGAAUAACAGGUUGCAUGGAAAUGAAUCCCAGAAGACUUGGUUGUGAAUUUGUACCAUGGCAUGCUUUGAAGUAAUCUGCCGAACUCUUAACCAAAUGAGCCUAAAUGUUGUAGCAUGUAAUCUUAAUUGUUUAUUAUUAGUUGCAAUAAAGGGUUGUGGGGAUUUUGUUACAA